rnacentral:snoRNA from 1 species
AUAAUUGAUGAUGAUGAGAUGGUGUCUCAUAUUCUUAAUGGUUUGGACUACGACUACAAUCCUUUUGUGUCGGCUACUCUUGGUUGGUCAGAUCCAAUCUCCUUGGAUGAUCUGUACUCUGAUCUUAUGGUCUACGAUC